ACUCCUACGGGAGGCAGCAGUGGGGAAUAUUGCACAAUGGGCGCAAGCCUGAUGCAGCCAUGCCGCGUGUAUGAAGAAAGGCCUUCGGGUUGUAAAGUACUUUCAGCAGUGAGGAAGGCGGAUACGUUAAUAGCGUAUUCGUUUGACGUUAGCUGCAGAAGAAGCACCGGCUAACUCCGUGCCAGCAGCCGCGGUAAUACGGAGGGUGCGAGCGUUAAUCGGAAUUACUGGGCGUAAAGCGCAUGCAGGUGGUGUGUUAAGUCAGAUGUGAAAGCCCGGGGCUCAACCUCGGAAUAGCAUUUGAAACUGGCACACUAGAGUACUGUAGAGGGGGGUAGAAUUUCAGGUGUAGCGGUGAAAUGCGUAGAGAUCUGAAGGAAUACCAGUGGCGAAGGCGGCCCCCUGGACAGAUACUGACACUCAGAUGCGAAAGCGUGGGGAGCAAACAGGAUUAGAUACCCUGGUAGGAUAGCG
rnacentral:rRNA from 1 species